rnacentral:misc_RNA from 1 species
GGCAGAAGGCAUGAUGUUUGUCCAGGCUCAAAAUUUGGAAUUAAGCUUCUUUAGGCCUUAGCCUUUCCUCUUCUUCUCUUUGGUGGCAAUAAUUAUUUAUGGGAGCACUAUCUUUUUGGCAUUUAUAAAAUUGAGACUGUGGUGUGGAUGAAGGUACUAACAUUUAUUAACUUUGGAAAUCCUUCUUGGAUCACCAUUAUUCUAUGCUUAUUUUUGGUUGAAUAUUUGCUUAUGUUUGAAGAGCCUCAUUUCUAUUCAUGGUGGUAAUUUUCCUGAUAAUUGAACAGGAAUUGACA